GAUUAAAGAUGGUGGAGGAGCUGGAAGGACGUGGGGCACUAGGGUCUCAAGCCCCCAGUGUCACCGGAAAAAAAACGUGACUGAAAAGGGAGAUCCACCUCCAACCUCUUGGAAACUGAUGCAGCUCAGCUGGAGACCACCAGACCUUCACGGGAGCUGGGCAUUGAGGGUGAAAGAGAGAUCCAGAUUUAACACUUCCCCAGCCCUCCUCGCACCCAGAGCCUCCGUUCCCUCUUCUGUAAAGUGGAGGUUUCAACUUGCCCCCUCUAGGGCUGGUUAGAGGAUUUUGAGGUCCCUGAAUGACAUCCCCCUCUGCUGGCAAUCUGUGACUUGUCCUUCAAGACUUCCCUAGUUGGCACC
rnacentral:lncRNA from 1 species